AACGAACGCUGGCGGCAUGCCUAACACAUGCAAGUCGAACGAGACCUUCGGGUCUAGUGGCGCACGGGUGCGUAACGCGUGGGAACCUGCCCUUAGGUUCGGAAUAACUCCCCGAAAGGGGUGCUAAUACCGGAUAAUGUCUUCGGACCAAAGAUUUAUCGCCUUUGGAUGGGCCCGCGUUGGAUUAGCUAGUUGGUAGGGUAAAAGCCUACCAAGGCGACGAUCCAUAGCUGGUCUGAGAGGAUGAUCAGCCACACUGGGACUGAGACACGGCCCAGACUCCUACGGGAGGCAGCAGUGGGGAAUAUUGGACAAUCGGCGAAAGCCUGAUCCAGCAAUGCCGCGUGAGUGAUGAAGGCCUUAGGGUUGUAAAGCUCUUUUACCCGGGAUGAUAAUGACAGAACCGGGAGAAUAAGCUCCGGCUAACUCCGUG
rnacentral:rRNA from 1 species